rnacentral:rRNA from 1 species
GACGAACGCUGGCGGCGUGCUUAAUACAUGCAAGUCAACUGAACUUGAGGUAGCAAUAUCACAAGAGAGGUGGCGCACGGGUGAGUAACACGUAGGUAAUCUGCCUUUAGGUCUGACAUAAUUCCGCGAAAGCGGGACUAAUAUCAGAUGAUGCAGCGGCUCGACAUCGAGACAGUUGUUAAACCUUCGGGGCCGUAAAGAUGAGCCUGCGUCUGAUUAGGUAGUUGGCGGAGUAAAAGCCCACCAAGCCUGCGAUCAGUAGCUGGUCUGAGAGGAUGAUCAGCCACACUGGAACUGAGACACGGUCCAGACUCCUACGGGAGGCAGCAGUAAGGAAUAUUGCUCAAUGGCCGAAAGGCUGAAGCAGCAACGCCGCGUGGAGAUGAAAUACUUUUGUAUGUAAACUCCUGUAAGAAGGGAAAAUAUCCCGAUUUAUCGGGAUUG